rnacentral:rRNA from 1 species
CCUGGCUCAGGAUGAACGCUGGCGGCGUGCCUAACACAUGCAAGUCGAACGAAGCACUUUGUUACGAUCCCUUCGGGGUGACGACUUUGUGACUGAGUGGCGGACGGGUGAGUAACGCGUGGGAAACCUGCCCUAUACCGGGGGAUAACAGUUGGAAACGACUGCUAAUACCGCAUAAGCGCACGAGAUGGCAUCAUCUAGUGUGAAAAACUCCGGUGGUAUAGGAUGGUCCCGCGUCUGAUUAGCUAGUUGGUGAGGUAACGGCCCACCAAGGCGACGAUCAGUAGCCGACCUGAGAGGGUGACCGGCCACAUUGGGACUGAGACACGGCCCAAACUCCUACGGGAGGCAGCAGUGGGGAAUAUUGCACAAUGGGCGAAAGCCUGAUGCAGCGACGCCGCGUGAGCGAUGAAGUAUUUCGGUAUGUAAAGCUCUAUCAGCAGGGAAGAACAAAUGACGGUACCUGACUAAGAAGCUCCGGCUAAAUACGUGCC